rnacentral:rRNA from 1 species
CCCUUAGAUGUUCUGGGCUGCACGCGCGCUACACUGAUGCGCUCAACGAGUUUAUGAACUUGCCCGGAAGGGUUGGUUAAUCUUUUUAAAACGCAUCGUGAUGGGGAUAGAUUAUUGCAAUUAUUAAUCUUGAACGAGGAAUACCUAGUAAGUGCGAGUCAUCAGCUUGCGCUGACUUACGUCCCUGCCCCUUGUACACACCGCCCGUCGCUGCCCGGAACUGAGCCGUUUCGAGAAAGCCGGGGACUGACGGCUUGUGGGUGCGCAAGCGCUUCUUGCCGAUGGAAACCAGUUUAAUCGGUAUGGCUUGAACCGGGCAAAAGUCGUAACA